GACGAACGCUGGCGGCGUGCUUAACACAUGCAAGUCGAACGGAAAGGCCCUGCUUGCAGGGUACUCGAGUGGCGAACGGGUGAGUAACACGUGGGUGAUCUGCCCUGCACUUCGGGAUAAGCCUGGGAAACUGGGUCUAAUACCGGAUAGGAGCCAUUUUUAGUGUGAUGGUUGGAAAGUUUUUUCGGUGUAGGAUGAGCUCGCGGCCUAUCAGCUUGUUGGUGGGGUAACGGCCUACCAAGGCGGCGACGGGUAGCCGGCCUGAGAGGGUGGACGGCCACAUUGGGUCUGAGAUACGGCCCAGACUCCUACGGGAGGCAGCAGUGGGGAAUAUUGCACAAUGGGCGCAAGCCUGAUGCAGCGACGCCGCGUGGGGGAUGACGGCCUUCGGGUUGUAAACUCCUUUCGCUAGGGACGAAGCUUUUUGUGACGGUACCUAGAGAAGAAGCACCGGCUAACUACGUG
rnacentral:rRNA from 1 species